GACGAACGCUGGCGGCGUGCUUAACACAUGCAAGUCGAACGGAAAGGCCCUGCUUUUGUGGGGUGCUCGAGUGGCGAACGGGUGAGUAACACGUGAGUAACCUGCCCUUGACUUUGGGAUAACUUCAGGAAACUGGGGCUAAUACCGGAUAGGAGCUCCUGCUGCAUGGUGGGGGUUGGAAAGUUUCGGCGGUUGGGGAUGGACUCGCGGCUUAUCAGCUUGUUGGUGGGGUAGUGGCUUACCAAGGCUUUGACGGGUAGCCGGCCUGAGAGGGUGACCGGCCCCAUUGGGACUGGGAUAAGGCCCAGACUCCUACGGGGGGCAGCAGUGGGGAAUAUUUCACAAUGGGGGGAAGCCUGAUGCAGCAACGCCGGGUGCGGGAUGACGGCCUUCGGGUUGUAAACCGCUUUCGCCUGUGACGAAGCGGGAGUGACGGUAAUGGGUAAAAAAGCCCCGGCUAACUACGUG
rnacentral:rRNA from 1 species